rnacentral:tRNA from 1 species
GGAGAGUACAGCUCAGUGGUAAAGUGCGUGCUUAGCGUGCAUGAAGUCCUGGGUUCAGUCCCCAGUACCUCCA